rnacentral:lncRNA from 1 species
AAAAACAUUCAACGAUAAUUGUUAAGAAAUCCCAAAUAAGAAAGUAUAAUUCUAAUUACUGGAUGCAACGGAUAUUUCAGAUAUUUUGCCAUCAAGAGCACGCAAAAGAACAACUAAACGGCGUUUAAAAAUAGGCGAGAAAAAUUCAGACUGCCUUAACAAAGCUUCGCGAGUUAAAGUAAGAACAGGGUGAACUACCGUUUCCACCUUUGGGUCAUUAACAUCAAUGUUCAAACAAAUUCUAGAAAUGUAUUCCAUACGCUUCGAUAAGCGAUCGUCAUCAACAGAAUCAAGGAGAGAAAUAUGAUAAAUAAAAGUAAGAAGCAAUAAAUUGCUACAAUUUUCUAACAUUCUAUCGUAAGAAAUUUCAGACAAAACGUCAAAGCCCGCAACAGAGGGCAUGUUACACCACUAGAAUAAAUUAGAAAAUAAAAAUCACAUUUUAUAACUUACCUCAGCAACACAUUCUUUCACAGAACCAGCUUUAACAUAUUCUUUUAGCCUUCUCAGACUUUCAGCAAUUCCCUGAGCAGGCUGUUCAGCAGAUGAAGGCUCCUGCUUUUCCACGUCCUUUGUAGACGUAUCGCUAGACACGGAAACGUUACUUUCCGCAGCAGGUGGAUAUGAUGAAGGUACUACAUCAGGUGCUGUCUCUGGUACUUUAUUCUCAAUCUUCAAAUCAUUGAACUUUUCAAGCACUGUUUCAACAUAGCCUUCAAGCGUUUUAACUUGUUCAUUCAAUUCGUUAUACUUUACCUCAGAUUCCUUCUGGGCAUGUGCAACAUUCUGAAUACUAUACCUCAGUUGAGCUAGAGAUGAAGUCUGCUUAUCAAAAUCCUCUCGAACAGAAUUUUGCAGCUCUGCAAUGCUAUUCUCAAGAAAAGAUUCAAUUUUUUCCAAGUUAUUUUUGAGAGCAUUUCUAACGGAAUUCGCAAUUUCUUCCUUUAAUGCCACUUGCAUCGAUUUUUCAACCACCGACUCUAGAAUUUUACCAGUGUUUUCAGUUAAGGUUGAGGAGACGACUGAUAAAAUAGCUUCCGUAUGUUUUUCGUUUGCAGCCUUAUAUUCCAAAAGUUGAGAUCUUAGGCUUUCAUCUGUUUAAAAAAUUAGUGAAGUUAACUUAAAAAAAACUUACAAUUUUUGUGGACACUUUUUUCUAAGGAAGCAAGGAUAUUAGAGACAAUACUAUCCAUAGGUAUCGCAUCAAAAGUUGAAGCACUAUAUGAAGAAGGUGAUAAAACAGAUGAUGAUUUGUCCUUAGUUUCAAAUCUCUCGCCUUUGUCCUUCUUUUUCUUAGAAAAUCCUGUAGCUUGUGAACGGGGAGUACUGAAUCCAGAAUUAACAGUUGAAGGAGAAGCAGUGCUAUGUCUCUCAGUUAAAUCGAUUGUGCCACCAAUGUCUGCAUCAUAAUUCUGGACGCUCUCGAGCGAUCUAACUGUUUUGCCAGUCUUAUCUAAUAUUGAAGUCGGGAUAGAAUAAUAUUCAUAACCAUCUGUAUUGCUUACAACAAUGCAAUACUUAUCUUCAGAUUCCAAAAUUUUGCAUGCUGUAAAGCUAAUACAUGCUGCUUUCUCAAAUUUUUUAGCUACAAUUACUGAAAACUUUGCAUCCGCAGGAACGGGUUCAGAUGUGUUUAAUGAUGCCAAUAUUAAUUCAUAGGUUGAAUUAUAGAUUGGUGCUUGUUCGGAGACCGUCUCGUCUUUUGCGAAGAGAAAAAAAUAAAUACUAUUUGAUGGAGGAUUUCCUACCAGUAAGGUACUGCGCUCAUUGUCCACCGAAAAUUGAGAAAAUGAGGUAGUCGUUGCAGCCGUCGGACGAUUAUUAAAUCGGAAAGUCUGUAUAUUCCUUUUUGAA